CUUACGCUCCGGCAACGUCUCCGAGCACGGGAUCUCGUUAUGAUUUCAAGCUUACCUGUGUCUCUUGAGAACGUCGAACAAAAUCAAUUAGGUACUUCAGUACCAUGUGGAUACGGUCGUAUAAACAUAAAUGAACCAGCGUAUACGAGUGAUAUUAACAUAAUAAAACAUGUUUGAAGUAGAAGCUAAUUAAGGUUUUCUUGACAUUCGUAAUGUUUAACCUACAGAUAUUUAUGCAGAUCUAAACUUUUUCGAAACCGGUAAUACAAAAAAAAGUUACACAGACGCCGAAUAAAUGAAUAUUUGUGAAAGGAAGGUUGAAUGCUUGAUGGAUGAAGCGAAGCAUAAUCCAGUUUCUGCACGACCACUUUUGUAAC